GAGGAGACCAGUAGAGCCUGUCGGUCACAGGCUGAGGAACGCGGGCGGCGGGGACUGAGGCUGUUAAGGCUCCGCAGAGAGUGAUCCCCGAGUUGGAAAGCUAAGUGGACUGCCUCGCUAACUGGGUGGCAGAGGUGUGGGUGGCCACAGGGGUUUACGUUUCAAAAUGCUAGGGGACAAAGAUCGCAGUGGUGUCUGGCACCAGCGACCAGCGACCCUGGUGGUCCACUACCCAGUUCGGGACCUGAGCGCUCACCUGGCCAGCGCGGCUCAGCGGCAGAGAAUGCUGUCGCCCUGCUUGUUCACGGCGCCGGCCUGGAACAGCAACCCAACACCAAGGGAAAGGUUAGAGUGCGCAGACCACAUUGUCGCCACCGCCCGGGAGCCGUCCUGGGGAACUAGGCAGACGAGCAGAGUCCCCACCCGAGCCCGAAGCUGAGGAAGCCCCCUGUGAUGCAAGGGACACUCCGGAGACUUAAGGCUCCGAGUCCCGACCGCUUUCAGCUCAGGGACCAGCGAUCACUAAGCCCAGCAGGCGGCUCCCGGUGGAGAUCCGAGAAGCCGCUGUCAUUCCCUGAGAGGAGGACGACCACCCGUCUCUCGCCGCCCCGCCACCUCCCCUGCGAUGCCCAGGGUGCCCGCGGAGGCUUCUCACCGGGUCAGUGUUGAGCGCGAUAAUGCAAAGUGUACGGACCCCCGUGGAGUACCACUAGUGAUUUCCUGUUCUGCCUGUACCUGAAGAUGCUUUUCUAAGGAUUUACUCCCUGAAUAGGAGCUGCCAGUUCACUAAGUAGCCACCUCAUGGCUCUGCAUUAUUCCAACUGUGCAGGCAGCAGCUGUGACUGAGAGAAACGCAGAUCAACGCAAGGCUUAUGGAGCUCAAUAUGUUACUUCUGUUUAUUCAAAAGACCACCUGUGUUUCUCGGGGAAAUUGGAGAUGAUCCAAAACAGAAUGAAGAUGCAGCCGACAGCCGUGGAACCUUCAGAGCUGUAAGCCUGGCCAUCACUGCUUUAGGUUAAACACGCCGUGACAGCCCCGUGGGAAACUACUCCCAGAACCCACAGCUCAGUGUUUUGGGUUACUCAGGGAAACUGAGUCUCCUCAGAGCUUCCUGGGGCUUCUUGUCCAUGAACGUUUUACAGACACCACUGUGAUAGUUUCUGAGAGUGCUGGAUAGCAAGGUGAAAUAAUCCAGGAAUACACCAGCUGAGCGAAUGGAUGAGUGAUGGCUAGGAAGGCCUUGAAUUUGAGAGUUACACGGCCAUAGUAAUGUCAGGUUGCUCUGUGUGAACAGUAUUGGGGAUUUAGGAGGGAGCAUGGGAAGCUUCCUAAUCCCUUAUGUUCCCAUGAAUUCUCGAUGGCAGUGUUGGAGGCAUCCCCUCAAAGCCUUGUCAUCUACCCUAGGUCAUUCUUUGAGGUGACUUUUCCCAACACGUUUCUGUACCUAUCCUCUUAGUGGGUGCUAGGGUCCCACAAGCAAGUACAGAUUAUACUAGCAAAACAACCAUCCCUUUGAGUUCAGGUUGAUCUGGAGUUAACAUUUAAUUUUGGAGGGGAACAAAGUCUCACUACCCAGCCCAGGCUGGCCUUGAACACAUAAUUCUCCAUGCGAUAGCUGCUACAGUGCUCUGCUGGAAUCCUAGGCACAGAGUAUCCUCACAUAUCAGCCUAGGAGUUGAUUUUUCUAAAUACCUUUAUCUCACACUCUCCUUCCUCAUUUCUCAAGCAGUGGUUUAAAAUCAGAGACUUACCAGAAGCAAAAACUUUCAACAUGAUGUGCUGUGUUCUAUAGCUUUUCCAUACUUCAGUGUGCUUCUAUAAUUCUCAAGUAAUUCAUUGACGGUUUUCCUAGAUAUAAAUCUGAGUAAAGAAACAGGGUAGAAAACAUUAGGUAGAAAAUUUUUUGUCCUGAAAUCUAGACUAUUCCUUUGAUCAAAGCCAGUGAAAGACUGAGGUAGAACCUAGGUUCAGUGAUAUUUUAUGGCGGAGGGUUGAGAAGAAAGAUACAGGGGAUGAACAUGGAAUGUAGAGAACGUGCAGGAAGUGUGGUUACAGGAGACAGGGUACUAUACACAUCCAGUUCGCCCGUCCUCUCUCUCACUCUGCCUGUACGUUUAGCAUGAGGUUUUGACAUGAUCUGCCACACAAUGUGUAUUUGUGUGGAUGAUGUCCUUGGCCCAUACAGCUGAGCACUCUACUCAUGGCUAGUUAAUUAUUGGUGGUAAAGAAGAAAUGUUCAGACCUGCCUGUUUGAAAUUUCCCAACUGCUCCUCGCCCAGCUGGUCUACCUGAAAGUGGGUUUAGGAGCCAAGAUCUGGUGAGAGAAGGUCACCAUGGUUAUGACAACUUGCCAAUGAAGCUCUCUGAAUUUUUGCUUCUGGAAAUAAAAUCCCCUCUGUUAUCCCCCACUCCCAUCCUUGCUGGUGUAACUGUGAAGUGUUAAAAAAAGCAAAACAAACAGACAAACAGACACAGCCAACUAACCUCCUGCUCCAGAGUCUGUUUUUUGUUUUGUUUCUCUCUCCUCUGUAUUCUUCCUUAGGAAAACAAAAAUCAAAGGGAAGUUUUUCUCUACUUUAAGCCAAAAUUACUUAAAUAGCAUUUCUCAAAGGUGUUGGAGAAAUCGACAGCCUCAUGGGUGUGUAGCAGAGUGAGAGAAAUGUCAGGUUUGGGUCCCUAACUCAGGCCAACUCAAUCAGAAACUAUGUGGUAGGAACCACAGGUCUGUGUGUAAAUGAGCUCUUCUGGGUUUCAUGAACU